AACGAACGCUGGCGGCAGGCCUAACACAUGCAAGUCGAGCGCGCCCUUCGGGGUGAGCGGCGGACGGGUGAGUAACGCGUGGGAACGUGCCCUUUUCUACGGAAUAGCCUCGGGAAACUGAGAGUAAUACCGUAUACGCCCUUUGGGGGAAAGAUUUAUCGGAAAAGGAUCGGCCCGCGUUGGAUUAGGUAGUUGGUGGGGUAAUGGCCUACCAAGCCGACGAUCCAUAGCUGGUUUGAGAGGAUGAUCAGCCACACUGGGACUGAGACACGGCCCAGACUCCUACGGGAGGCAGCAGUGGGGAAUCGUAGACAAUGGGGGCAACCCUGAGCUAGCCAUGCCGCGUGAGGGAUGAAGGCCUGAGGGGUGUAAAGCUCUUUCAGCUGGGAAGAUAAUGACGGGACCAGCAGAAGAAGCCCCGGCUAACGCCG
rnacentral:rRNA from 1 species